rnacentral:rRNA from 1 species
UACGUAGGGGGCAAGCGUUGUCCGGAUUUAUUGGGCGUAAAGAGCGUGUAGGCGGCUUUACAGGUCCGUUGUGAAAACUCGAGGCUCAACCUCGAGACGCCGGUGGAAACCGUAAAGCUAGAGUCCGGAAGAGGAGAGUGGAAUUCCUGGUGUAGCGGUGAAAUGCGCAGAUAUCAGGAAGAACACCCGUGGCGAAGGCGGCUCUCUGGGACGGUACUGACGCUGAGACGCGAAAGCGUGGGGGAGCGAACAGG